rnacentral:rRNA from 1 species
AGAGUUUGAUCAUGGCUCAGAACGAACGCUGGCGGCAGGCUUAACACAUGCAAGUCGAGCGGGCGCUUUCGGGCGUCAGCGGCGGACGGGUUAGUAACGCGUGGGAACGUGCCCUUUGCUCUGGAAUAGCCCUGGGAAACCGGGGGUAAUACCGGAUGUGCCCUGAGGGGGAAAGGUUUACCGGCAAGGGAUCGGCCCGCGUCUGAUUAGGUAGUUGGUGGGGUAAAGGCCUACCAAGCCUACGAUCGGUAGCUGGUUUGAGAGGAUGAUCAGCAACACUGGGACUGAGACACGGCCCAGACUCCUACGGGAGGCAGCAGUGGGGAAUCUUAGACAAUGGGCGAAAGCCUGAUCUAGCCAUGCCGCGUGGGUGAUGAAGGCCUUAGGGUCGUAAAGCCCUUUCGCCGGGGAAGAUAAUGACGGUACCCGGUAAAGAAACCCCGGCUAACUCCGUGCCAGCAGCCGCGGUAAUACGGAGGGGGUUAGCGUUGUUCGGAAUGACUGGGCGUAAAGCGCGCGUAGGCGGAUCGCAAAGUUGGGGGUGAAAGCCCAGGGCUCAACCCUGGAAUUGCCUUCAAGACUCGCGGUCUGGAGUUCGAGAGAGGUGGGUGGAAUUCCGAGUGUAGAGGUGAAAUUCGUAGAUAUUCGGAGGAACACCAGUGGCGAAGGCGGCCCACUGGCUCGACACUGACGCUGAGGCGCGAAAGCGCGGGGAGCAAACAGGAUUAGAUACCCUAGUAGUCC